GGCUAUUCCGUCCAUCUUUUCCUUCGCCAAAACUCGCUGUAAUCGAGUUACAACACGAAGCGACCGGUAUUAAUUCAAUAGUAAAACACUAUUCCUCAUUUAGCUUUCUGCUUUAACUGAAUAUUCACUAUAAUUUGGUGCAUUGGAAGAGAAAUUUGUCACAUUUUGCAAAAGGAAUUGGUUAAUUGGCCGUCCAAAGGUCUAAAAUUAUCCCUGUAAUUUAUUAAACUCAUAGUAAAGUAAUUGGAAUUGUCUCAUUUUCAGGCGUAAUUUAUGGGUUUUCUAGCCCUAAAUGAAUUAGACACCUUAAUUAGUUCUAAAAUCUCUGAUGGGUAAAUUUGUUUAAAUUAUUGAUAACAUAGUUGUUGUGUGGUGUUCAGUCGGACUUUAUUUUAUUAUUCACAUUAACUAUUUGUUGCCUUAAGCCAAAUUGAUGUACGGGAGAAAUAUAGUGGACAAUAAUGUAAUUGCCAGACCACAAAAUGUAGAAACAACUGUGAGAUGGAAUUAACGCGGAAAUAUUUAUUUCAGAUAAUGGCAACUGGUACUUUUGAUAUAAGUGGAAUUAUGGGAACCUUUU
rnacentral:lncRNA from 1 species